rnacentral:rRNA from 1 species
CAGUAGCGUAUAUUAAAGUUGUUGCAGUUAAAAUGCUCGUAGUUGAAGUUCGGAUGCAGCAGAGCUUGGAAACGCUGUUAUGGUGCUUCCGUUGCUUUUGCUUGUCCACAGUGCGUGGCAAGUACGUAUGUGCUUGUGCGUGCAUUUUACUUUGAGAAACAUAGGGUGUUCCACGCAUGUUACGGCAUGAAUAUUCCAGCAUGGGAUAAUCUGGUACGACUUCCAAUCUGCCAUUUUGGUUCGUAGGUUGGAAGUAAUGAUUAAUAGGGACUGUCGGGGGCAUUGGUAUUUGACUGUCAGAGGUGAAAUUCUUAGAUUCGUUGAGGACCAACCACUGCGAAAGCAUUUGUCAAGGAUGUCUCCAUUAA